rnacentral:rRNA from 1 species
AACGAACGCUGGCGGCAUGCCUAACACAUGCAAGUCGAACGAGACCUUCGGGUCUAGUGGCGCACGGGUGCGUAACGCGUGGGAACCUGCCCUUAGGUUCGGAAUAACUCCUCGAAAGGGGUGCUAAUACCGGAUGAUGUCGAAAGACCAAAGAUUUAUCGCCUUUGGAUGGGCCCGCGUAGGAUUAGGUAGUUGGUGGGGUAAAGGCCUACCAAGCCGACGAUCCUUAGCUGGUCUGAGAGGAUGAUCAGCCACACUGGGACUGAGACACGGCCCAGACUCCUACGGGAGGCAGCAGUGGGGAAUAUUGGACAAUGGGCGAAAGCCUGAUCCAGCAAUGCCGCGUGAGUGAUGAAGGCCUUAGGGUUGUAAAGCUCUUUUACCAGGGAUGAUAAUGACAGUACCUGGAGAAUAAGCUCCGGCUAACUCCGUG